rnacentral:lncRNA from 1 species
GCAGGAGCUAAGUGACCGGGAGAUCCCCCUGACCACCGCUGACCAGACUGCCUUCCUGAAUGAGGUCCUGCGGCGGAGCUCCCUGGACCCAGGUCCAGAAGGUGCUCUAGUUGGGGGUCACGCAAUCCCUAAGGAUCAAGCAGGCAACAGGACCCAGGCUACUGGAGACUCCACCCUUCCUACCCAGAGUGUAGGCAUUCCUGGAAUUCCCAGGUCUUCCAUUUCUGCACAGCCCCCUCAGUGGCACUGCUAUGCCAGGCUUCUGAGCCCUCAGCAUGUGUUUCUGACUUUUCUCCCAGCUACCUUCUCAGAUGUCCAACAUCUGACUGCUUAUGGCCUGGUGGGUUCCUCUCAAGAAGAAACAAAACCUAAGCUUGGGGAUUGGAGUGGAGCUCCGAGCCUGAAAGACCUGGGAGCAGCAGGGACUAGGGCUCCGAAGUCACAAGUGCCCAUCCUCAGUGUGACCCUUGCUAGCGACAGUACCCAGAAUCCAGGAGAGCCAAGCCCACCCUCCUGCCGAGACUUCCCAGCUAACAGUGGGCGCCAGGCUCCCCAGACAGAGGGUGCUGAUGGGCCCCGGACCCGGUGUCCUGUCUACAUCUAUAGCUGUUCCCUGGAAGCACUGAGGGAACAAAUGGUUGGCUUGCAGCCUCCACAAGCACCACGAGACCUCAUAUUCCGGCCUUACCCCUGGAAGUGGAACUGCCCCCAGCCUCGGACCCUCAGCACCAUCGGUCAACAUCUGAGAGCAGUGCUUCAUUCCCACGGUCUCCGGGGCAGCCAUCAUCUUUAAGGUCAGAUGAUGGCCUAGGACCCCCACUACCACCCCCAGAAGAAGAGAGGCACCCAGGACUGUCCAGUUUGGCCACACCCCACAGACUGGCUAUUGAGAGCACCAUGAGUGAGAUCCGCUGGCUGUUAGAAGAUGAGAUGGUAGGGGCACUCCGAAGAGGGGGAAUCCCCCAGAGCCCUGCCCUGCACCGAGCAGCUGCCCACAUUCAUAGCUCGUCCGGACGCUCUACCUGCCUCCGCCAAGCUCCCCCUCUGAGCUUUGUGUUUGGGCCAGAGCGCUCCCUCACACAGUUCAAGGAGGAGUUCCGGCGCCUCCACCUCCCUGGCCAU